CCCGGCCGGCCCCGCGCCCUGGCGCGGAAGGGCGGAGGCGGGAGGAAGGGAGGCCGGGAGGCUGCACCCGGGCCCGCCGCGGGACGCUCAGCGCUGCGACACCAGCCGGGCCUCCGGCCGCCUGGGAGGGGAGCUCUCCGGUCUACGCCUUCUGCAUUCCUGCUGUCUUCACUCCUGUCUCCCCUGAUCACCUUACCCUGGACCCCUGCAACAGCCGGUCCUGCCCCGGAGCCCGCUCCCUGCUGCCAGAGAAAUGGCCAAACACAUCACCAUACCCGUGCCCACGCCGUCCGUAGGUGUCCAAACUUAUCUUCUACGGAUGCUGACAUAAGCCCUCUCUGCCCCUUCCUGCCUUCCCCAAGAGCGCACUGGUUAUUGCAUAAUACCAAGACAAAGGCCCUGUCUCUUUAAUUCCUGUGCUGUCCUCCACAAUUGCAGGGCCUCCCUGCCCCCAUCCUGAAAGUAUGUUCUGUUUUAUACAAAGUCUGUAGACAUUGUGCAUGUGAAUUAAAGAGUCAGAGUGAGCAAA